UACGUAGGAGGCGAGCGUUGUCCGGAUUUACUGGGCGUAAAGCGCGCGCAGGCGGCACACUAAGUACGAUGUGAAAUCUCCCUGCUCAACGGGGAGGGUGCAUAGUAAACUGGUGAGCUAGAGGACGGUAGAGGGGGGUGGAAUUGCUGGUGUAGCGGUGAAAUGCGUAGAGAUCAGCAGGAACACCCGUGGCGAAGGCGGCCCCCUGGGCCGAACCUGACGCUGAGGCGCGAAAGCCAGGGGAGCAAACGGG
rnacentral:rRNA from 1 species